AGAAAACUCGAUUGGGAUGCAUUUAAGCAGGCACCACAGGAAGCUCAUUCUGGGACAAGCUCACAAACUGAGUUAUUUUCAUCUGUUUUGAGACAGAAAAAACAACACAUGACGCACAAGUCCAGUCAGAGGCAACCAACAUAACAUAAAUUGCAGAUGAUUGCAGUGUGAAAGACCUCCUCUGCCAUAAAGACACCGGCUGCUAACACUGGAAAUGUGAUGCAGAACAAGCUGUUCCACACACCUCAGAAUUAAGGAUGCUCAUCUUCUUACAGAUAGGACAGCACGUUAAAAUUACUGGCAACUCAGUGAAAACAUCAGGAAAACCUCCAGAAGUCUGGUGUUCUUCAGGUUCCCAAGAUACGGGAAUCCCGAGCAGUGGCAGGAGCGGAGAAGUGAAAAGCACCUCCUGGUGAAAAUAGCAUGAAAGAAUGGACUUGAUAUCAAAGGCCCCAGAAGACACAGCCUCUGUUAAGAGCCCUUCUACAUGUCCAGAGGAAUUCCUAAUUAAAAUAAGAACCGAUUUUUCACACAUAUAGUGCUAUGCUUUGUUAAUAUAUGUUAUGCUGUCAGUGAGAAAUGAAAUGCAACAUUAGGCAGAAGUUGAAAUACUCCAGGGAAGCACAAUUUAGGGGACUAUCUGGUCUGAUGUUCUCCACAGAUUUGAAUACAAAAUGCCAUAUGAGCAGCAAAGGACAAUCCUACUGAAAGGAAAAAAUGGAUAAACCCAGCACUAAUAAUGCAUAACAUUUGAAUUUCUUCAGCACAUCCAUACAAAUAGCAGCUUUACUGUGAAAACAGUAGUGUAUAUAUGCAUGCAUAUAAGUUUGGUCUGGCACAAUAUUUAAUGGUCCACAAGAGGCACAGUGUACAUGUUGUACUAAUUACUCUUUGAAGACAUACUCUCUGGUUUCUGUCAGGAGCACAGAACACAGCAUGUGCAUACUGUUUCCUACCUGAUUUUUUCAAUACAUGGGCUUUUAAGGCAGAAAGUCUCUAAUUCAGCAUGGGCAGUCCUUACGGCUGCAAAUGUGGGACUCAAUAAAUGGGCUUUAAAAAGAUAUAAUCAUAAUAUGGAAACUGACUUGCCUCUUUGUGUGUCAUGUGAAUUGUAGUCAUUACAAGAGGACUCUUUACCACAGUUCUAAUUAACAUGUAUGGAAGUGCUUCAGUCUGGCUUAACCUGAUUUGAAAACAUUUUGGCAGAGCUUUUAGACACUGGCUGAAGUUUAGUUGCCUGAAGAUCCCUCUAGAGCUGGGUGUGAAAGUGUCUACCUCCAACAUCUUGAUCUGACACGUCACUUUCUCUCCUCACCUCGUUCUGCUCUUUGCUGCUGUUUAUCCUUUACAGUCACCUCAGCUUCUCCUCUUCAGACUUGCGGAACCUCCAACAGGAUGGCAGUGAGUGGCCAAAGCACAAGUUAAUUGCAGGGUCACUGAUUGCAGCUCCAGUUUGGGAGAGUGUUUCAGCACAACUUUAGUCCUAAGGUGACUUUGCCAGACAAGAGAAAAAUGUGACCAAAUCCAUUAGUCAUUUCUACUGAUUCUGAUGAAUUCAUCAUUAGGACCAGGUCCCUCUACAACAGAAGUUGUCAUAUACUGGAUUUUCUCCGUAAAAUAUUUAAUUUUUUAAAUUAUUAUUCUAUUUUUAGAAAACUUAUCACACAAAUG
rnacentral:lncRNA from 13 species